GCGGUUCUGGGGUGUAAAAAUCACACAAAAAAGACAAAAGGAACUAAAAUUAAGUAUUUUCGAUUUCCAAAACAAGAAGACCUUGCUAAACAAUGGGUAAUUAGGUGUCACCGAGGAGACAAAAUUAAUCUGAAAAAUGCAUGCAUUUGUUCAGAACAUUUUGAACAGGAUUGUUAUGAAGUGCCUUUAAGACAGCGGUUACUGAAUUAUAAUCCAAGGAAUACUAGGAUUUUAAAAGAAGAUGCUUUGCCAACUUUCAAUUUGCCAUUAGCGAAGUCCUCAAUGUCAUCACAACUAAAAGAAAAUCUUAGUCCAAUGCUCAAACCCUCGACGAGCACAAACAGUGUAUCUUAUGAAGACACUAGCAUCAAUAUGGACAUUGAUUCUCUGCCUAAAAUAAAUCCAUGUCAAGAACACCUAGACAAAAUAGAGAAACUCACAGCAAAAGUUUCAGUGUUAAGGCAAAAAAAUAAAAUGCUUUUAAAGAUACUUCAGAAAAAAAAUCAAAGAGGGAAGUGGAUGAAAACAUCUUUAAUGAAAAUUUUCUUUCCAGGACAAAUAAAAAAACUGGAACAUCCUGAAAAGAAAACUGUUCAUUGGAGCCCGGAGGACAUUGCAUCGGCCAUAUCUUUACGCAGUGUCAGCCCCAAAGCUUAUAGAUAUUUACGAGCUAAUGGCUAUCCUCUACCAGGGCUCUCAACUCUUAGAACCUGGGCAGCCACUUUUGAUU